rnacentral:rRNA from 1 species
UACGUAGGGUGCGAGCGUUGUCCGGAAUUACUGGGCGUAAAGAGCUCGUAGGUGGUUUGUCGCGUUGUUCGUGAAAACUCACAGCUUAACUGUGGGCGUGCGGGCGAUACGGGCAGACUGGAGUACUGCAGGGGAGACUGGAUUUCCUGGUGUAGCGGUGGAAUGCGCAGAUAUCAGGAGGAACACCGGUGGCGAAGGCGGGUCUCUGGGCAGUAACUGACGCUGAGGAGCGAAAGCGUGGGGAGCGAACAGG